rnacentral:rRNA from 1 species
GGCGGACGGGUGAGUAACGCGUGGGUAACCUGCCUUGUACAGGGGGAUAACAGUUGGAAACGGCUGCUAAUACCGCAUAAGCGCACAGCAUCGCAUGAUGCAGUGUGAAAAACUCCGGUGGUAUAAGAUGGACCCGCGUUGGAUUAGCUAGUUGGUGAGGUAACGGCCCACCAAGGCGACGAUCCAUAGCCGACCUGAGAGGGUGACCGGCCACAUUGGGACUGAGACACGGCCCAAACUCCUACGGGAGGCAGCAGUGGGGAAUAUUGCACAAUGGGCGAAAGCCUGAUGCAGCGACGCCGCGUGAGCGAAGAAGUAUUUCGGUAUGUAAAGCUCUAUCAGCAGGGAAGAUAAUGACGGUACCUGACUAAGAAGCACCGGCUAAAUACGUGCCAGCAGCCGCGGUAAUACGUAUGGUGCAAGCGUUAUCCGGAUUUACUGGGUGUAAAGGGAGCGCAGGCGGUGCGGCAAGUCUGAUGUGAAAGCCCGGGGCUCAACCCCGGUACUGCAUUGGAAACUGUCGUACUAGAGUGUC